AGCCCUCUACUCAGAGCCCUGUACCCAGACAAUCAGACCCAGAGCCCUCUACCCAGACACCCAGACCCAGAGCCCUGUACCCAAACCCAGAGCCCUCUGCCCAGACACCCAAACCCAGAGCCCUCUACCCAGACACCCAGACCCAGAGUCCUCUACCCAGACAUCCAAACCCAGAGCCCUCUGCCCAGACACCCAGACCCAGAGCCCUCUACCCAGACACCUCUACCCAGAUACCCAGACCCAGGUUCCCAGACCCAGAGCCCUCUACCCAGACACCCAGACCCAGAGUCCUUUACCCAGACCCAGAGCCCUGUACCCAGACCCAGAGUCCUACACCCAGAGCCCUCUACCCAGACACCCGGACCCAGAGCCCUCUACCCAGACACCCGGACCCAGAGCCCUCUACCCAGACACCCGGACCCAGAGCCCUCUAACCAGACACCCAGACCCAGAGCCCUCUACCCAGACACCCAGACCCAGAGCCCUCUACUCAGAGCUCUGUACCCAGACAAUCAGACCUAGAAGCCCUGUACCAGAGGAACAUGGUGUGUCCUGAUCCCUGCAACUGUCUGCUUUCCAUCUCCAACCAACCUCCAAGCUCU
rnacentral:lncRNA from 1 species